CGUGUAGGCGGCUAGAUCAGUCAGGUGUGAAAUCCCUCGGUUUAACCGGGGAAUUGCGUCUGAUACUGUCUGGCUUGAGGGCAGAAGGGGAGAGUGGAAUUCCUGGUGGAGCGGUGAAAUGCGUAGAUAUCAGGAGGAACGCCAGCGGCGAAAGCGACUCUCUGGUCUGCACCUGACGCUGAGGCGCGAAAGCUAGGGGAGCAAACAGGAUUAGAUACCCUGGUAGUCC
rnacentral:rRNA from 1 species